rnacentral:rRNA from 1 species
GAUGAACGCUGGCGGCGUGCCUAAUACAUGCAAGUCGAGCGAAUGGAUUAAGAGCUUGCUCUUAUGAAGUUAGCGGCGGACGGGUGAGUAACACGUGGGUAACCUGCCCAUAAGACUGGGAUAACUCCGGGAAACCGGGGCUAAUACCGGAUAACAUUUUGAACCGCAUGGUUCGAAAUUGAAAGGCGGCUUCGGCUGUCACUUAUGGAUGGACCCGCGUCGCAUUUGCUAGUUGGUGAGGUAACGGCUCACCAAGGCAACGAUGCGUAGCCGACCUGAGAGGGUGAUCGGCCACCCUGGGACUGAGACACGGCCCAGACUCCUACGGGAGGCAGCAGUAGGGAAUCUUCCGCAAUGGACGAAAGUCUGACGGAGCAACGCCGCGUGAGUGAUGAAGGCUUUCGGGUCGUAAAACUCUGUUGUUAGGGAAGAACAAGUGCUAGUUGAAUAAGCUGGCACCUUGACGGUGCCUAACCAGAAAGCCACGGCUAACUACGUGCCAGCCGCCGCAGUAA